GUGGUGUAGUUGGUUAUCACGUCAGUCUAACACACUGAAGGUCUCCGGUUCGAGUCCGGGCGACGCCAGAUCUUAUUAUUUAAUUUUCAUUUUAAUAAAAUGAACUAGGCAUCCAUUGUCGUAAUUUGCAGAUACAGCCCCGUCAAUCUGGUAGUCCCUUGAAACGAGGGGUCAUUUUGAAAUUAUGCAAAAUCCUCUUUCCAGCGAUUGGAUUCUAUCUUCAAAGUGUUCCGGACCAAUGACCUCUCAAAUAUGCAGAAAGUUCUGGUGUCUGCUAUCUCCUUAAUUUCCACCAAAUUUACGUGUAGACUAGAUAUUGGAUAAGCUCAUUGAAAUUGAAUACUUCCGUAAGUGAGUUGGUAUAUAUCGUGGGAAAACUUUUGUACAAAGCGUAUUCUGUAAUCAGAUGAAAAAACAAGUUUUUCCCAAAGAGAUUUCCAGGUAAUGAGCCAAGUAUACAGUGUUUUUAUGUACUUAAGAAGGUAAAUUACUUGUCAAUAAUCGCACUGUGGGCAAAGAAUUCAAGAAAGAGAGAUAUUAUUUCAUUUUCUAAGCAAAAGAAGCACAAUUUUGAGGGCUCUUUUAUUGACAGAAAACCAACAUCCUUAGACUCAGAGAAUUGAAAAGUCUGGAAGUAUGAAGUUUUUAGAGAAGAAUUUGUUGCUGCUCAACGUUUCAGGAUGUUUGGAUCUCAUGAAGAUGGCAUUUUCAUCUACUUGAUGGUCUUCUUUGUUCCUCUGAGCUUCUAUAUCCAUUACUGAGUCCUCCAUGCCCAUCCUUUGAUAUGGAAUGGAAUGUUGUUUAUAUAGUCAUUGUAUAUAUAAAAAUAUAGAUGAGCGAAAUAAACAGUGUAGUCACCUGAAAUUCAGGUAACAUUGGACCUAGACAAAAUCCUGAAGCUAAUUCUGAAAGACGACAAUAAGUUUCAAAAUCUGUCAAACAUAAAAGUGGAGGUGUUUUCUGAAAACUGAGCGAAUUUUAAUAAAAAUGUCCAACUCUCUGCCUAAACAAUGGCGAUUCUUGUGGCCAUUUGGGUUUAAUGGUAGAUAAAUAGCCAGUUACUUUUGAAUGUCUAUCUACAUAUAUGAAGCAGUCUCAUUCUUGUCAUUUUUCUUUUUCCUUAUUUUAGCGUCAUUUUAGCUAUUAAACAACUCAAAUUUCUGUCUUUUAAAAUAUUUUAUACACCAAUUGGAGACACUUCAUUAGGUUUUUUUUUUUUUUUUUUUUCAAACAAGUAAAAUAUAAUUCCACUAUAAUUUGUUUCAAGCCAGAUGCAGGCCAAAGGCCCAAUUAAAUGGCCUUUGUCAUAUCAAUGACCCCAAAUUUUGGUUUUCUCUCGCCCUUCAGGCCCUGGAUAAAUGGGUUGUUUCGAUUAGAUCCAUUUGAUAUACCAAGGCUUAUUAAAGUGGUAAAUUUUUAUAUUUUAAAUUUUCAAAAAUUAGGUUUUUAUCUAUCAUCCACAUUUGUUAAUGAAUUAUGUUAAAUAAAAAGAUAAAAAAAUUACUUAUCCUAUUUUUUUAUUCUUUUUAUUUACAUUAAAACAAUUUGUUUUUCUUUUUUAAAACCUUAUUGAAUAACGAGAUAAGUUUAUUGUAUUAAAAUUCAAGAUAAAUAAUUUAUCUAAUAUAUAAUAAGUUAUUGGGCUCUGUCAAAGUUCUUAUUCACAUUAGACCCAUUCAUAAAAUGUUUUGUAAUAUUCAAUUAACACCAAUUAUAUUGAAUCAAAAUUGUGGCUAGCAUUAGCCCACAUCUAACAAAAUUAUCUUCUCAAUUUUUUUCUAGUAAUAAAUAUACACAUUAGCAAAUAAAAAAAUUAAACCAUAGUGAUGUGCAUGAGACAAAACCACAUGUGGUCCUAGAAUCUUUAAUAUGUCAAUACUAAAAAAAACUAAUGAGCGUGCUUGAUGAAGGAAGAAACUUCAAAAUGAUGCAGACCCAGAAGUUGGAGACUGGUAGUUGAGAAGAGAAUGGUGGUUAAUUUUGGGUUUUAAAGUGGAAAAUUACAUAAAGCGGUUAACAUCUUCCCAUAUGAGCCUCCAAUUCAUGAUCUCAUGAAAAUGUAAUUCUCCAGUGAGCUGAAGAGAAGGAUGAAGAAAUAACUGAAUGAAGGAAUACGGGAAAUGCAUGAAAGAGGAAGAAGAAAUAAUGAGCUUGGGAGGGGAAAUAGUGAUGGCAAUGGUAGGGUUAUGGGCAGUGUAUUUGAGGCCAUCGCUGAUGAGACAUUCAGUGGAGAUGCUGCAAGUUUUGCGCAAUGCCAUCAUCAGAUUAUUCAGAGCCUCGCCUUCUUUUUCUUUCCCUACUUCUUCAUUUCCAUGGAUGUACUAACAACAAGGUAUGUUGACUGAUUAUCUUGAAUGAUUAAUAAAAGAAAGUAAGGAUUUCAAUGUA